rnacentral:rRNA from 1 species
UACGAGGGGGGCAAGCGUUGUUCGGAAUUAUUGGGCGUAAAGGGCGCGUAGGCGGUUUGGCAAGUCUAGUGUGAAAUCUUCGGGCUCAACUCGAAGUCUGCACUGGAAACUGCCGGGCUUGAGUAUGGGAGAGGUGAGUGGAAUUUCCGGUGUAGCGGUGAAAUGCGUAGAUAUCGGAAGGAACACCUGUGGCGAAAGCGGCUCACUGGACCAUAACUGACGCUGAGGCGCGAAAGCUAGGGGAGCAAACAGGG